rnacentral:rRNA from 1 species
UACGUAGGGUGCAAGCGUUGUCCGGAAUUAUUGGGCGUAAAGAGCUCGUAGGCGGUCUGUCGCGUCUGCUGUGAAAACUCAGGGCUUAACCCUGAGCUUGCAGUGGGUACGGGCAGACUAGAGUGCGGUAGGGGAGACUGGAAUUCCUGGUGUAGCGGUGAAAUGCGCAGAUAUCAGGAGGAACACCGGUGGCGAAGGCGGGUCUCUGGGCCUGUCCUGACGCUGAGGCGCGAAAGCUAGGGGAGCGAACAGG